UACAGAGGGCUCAAGCGUUGUUCGGAUUCAUUGGGCGUAAAGGGUGCGUAGGCGGGCCUUUAAGUCAGGGGUGAAAUCCUGGAGCUCAACUCCAGAACUGCCUUUGAUACUGAGGAUCUUGAGUUCGGGAGAGGUGAGUGGAACUGCGAGUGUAGAGGUGAAAUUCGUAGAUAUUCGCAAGAACACCAGUGGCGAAGGCGGCUCACUGGCCCGAUACUGACGCUGAGGCACGAAAGCGUGGGGAGCAAACAGG
rnacentral:rRNA from 1 species